rnacentral:tRNA from 2 species
GCGGGAUUAGUUUAGUGGUAAAACGCCUGCUUCCCAAGCAGAAGAUACCAGUUCGAUUCUGGUAUCCCGCA